UUGUGCUUUACCAACCCCUGCGCGUCGUGCGCACCCGCGCCGCACCUGGUACUACAACGAAACCGCUUAGCUUGUUCGUUCUUGAACUACCACUCGCCGCUCAUUCCAGUAACGUACGUCGAAGCUUUUACGUCGCGUCAUUCAUUUUGCAGUUUUGUUUUAUUCGUUAAUGAAGUAUUUUUUAUUAUUUUUGUAUUAAAAGUUGUUAAUUCGUGUACGUAUUCUUGCGUGGAUGCGACUUUUGUUUCGGAAUGUACCUGUAUACCUGUACGUUACGGUCGGUGUGUUGUUUGAAGUGUCCAGCGGUCUGCCAUCGUAAGCUGCAGUUGUACGUUAAUUUCACUGUUUUUUCCUUCGGUUAAUCGGUUUGUAUUGUAUCGAAUCCCAACAUUACGAUGAAGAAUCAUUUCGAAAUUGGAUACUGUCUACUUGAACAUACAAAUUUCAUACAUUUGGGAGUACAUCUGCUUAUAAUUGGUAAAAUUACGAGAAUUAUUCUAAGAAAAAUUCAAACGUUCAUUGGAGCUGUUUCCCACCCAUUGAUGACUGACGUCCUCAAACUGAAUUACUCCUGUAAAAUUUAAACACAUAUCAUGGUAUUGAAAAUCUUCAGAUAUCAAUCAAGGUUCGCAUAUGGUAGCAAGUCUCAACUACCUAUUUAUAAAGAAUUAAUUCGACUCCGAGAUCUGAAUGUAUGAAUUCAAUAAUAAUUUGGCAACGUACCUGCUCCUUUCAUAGAAUUACGACUUUCAAGAUGACCAUCGAUUGUCGUUGGUGAUUAAUUUCUCAGGAGAAAAAUUAUUUUCCAAGCGCAAAUAUUUAGUAUGUACCUACCUUGCAUUCAAAAUGAUGCAAAUAUUUUCCAUCUACGUAACACAUUAUAGUACAUCAUACGAAAAGAUUUCUUCAGUGAAAAUAAUGUGAUAGUAGGUAAUCUAGAUAUCAAAUAAUGUAAUAUUGAUUUUCAUUUUGUAAAAAUGUUGGUAUUGUUUGGUAAUUUGAAAAUGUAUUUUGUAGGCCCUUUUCACUUUGUCAUUCCCAAUUCCCAAACAAUUUUGCAUGACAUCAUGUGCCUAAACCUAUGUUAAAUGUGCUUACCUAUGUACCUUAAUAUCUUUUAAGUUGUAAUCGUAGUAUCCGGAUACUUGAGUAGAUUUAAGCAGUAGGUUAAGUUGGUAAUUAUCAUUCCUAUUUAUUUCAAUUACCGAUGUAUUCGCGAUCACACUCAUUGUUUUUCAUGUCAUGUUUAAUUAUGUUUAUGUAAAAUGUUUUACUAAUGUUUUUUUUACAGCUCAGAAUUAUGAAGAUUCGUAGAUCAUUGUAGAUCUAUUGAUGGCGGGUAAGGUAAGUGGAUUGAAUAGUUAGUUACUUUGAAUACGCGUUUUUUUCUCAAAAAUUAAUUGAAAAAUUUUAGCAUUAAGAAGACGAACCAAAAUCUUCCCUUUUCAUAUUGUUUUUCCUUCGAAAAGUCGUACCGUAUUCGGUAAUAUGAAAUUGCAAAACCACUUUGAAAAACUUAUUUUAGAUGUUUUGUUUUUCAUUUUUUGAAAGUUUUGGGUUUUUCUAAAAUUUGGAUAUUAUGAACCCCUUUUUAUUUGGUAAUGAAAUGAAUUCGAAUGUUAGGUAUAUGUACUUACUAGUAUUUUUUCAACAGCAGAAUUAUGAAGAUGAAAUUCAUAGAUCAUGUAGACGAUCUAUUGAUGGCGGAAAGGUAAGUGGAUAUUGAGUCACUUUGAAUACGCGUGUUGUUUUCCAAAAAUUGAUUGAAUAAUUUUAGCAUUAAGAAGAUGAACCAAAAUUUUCCCUUUUCAUAUUUUUUUUCUUCAAAAAGUCGUACUUACUGUAUUUGGUGAUAAAAAAUUGAAAAACUUACCUAGGUACUUUGGAUGUUUUGAAUUUUGUUUUUUGAAAGUUUUCGGUUUUUUAAAAUUUAGAUAUUAUGAAUCCCUUUUUAUUUGGUAAUGAAAUUAAUUCGAAUGUUAUGCUAAUAUUUUUUCAACAGUAGAAUCAUGAAGAUUCAUAGAUCAUGUAGAUUUAUUGAUGGUGGAAAGUAUUGAGUUCGGUACAUCAAAUAGAGGUGUUUUCUUUUCAAAAUUAGAUUGAAAAAUUAAAUUUUACUAUCAACAUUAAGAGGAUGAACCAAAAUUUUCUCUUUUCAUAUUUUUUCCUUCGUAAACUUAUCGUAUGCUGUGUUUAGUGAUAAAAAAUUAAACCACGUUGAAAAACUUAUUUCAGAUAUUCUAAAUGUUGUUUUUUGAAAGUUUUGGGUUUUUUAAAAUUCUCAUUUGAUCAAUUCAUUAUUUGGCGAUGUAAAAGGCAUAUUUUCAUUUCAAGAAAAGCAUCAAGGGCUCCAAAAAUUAUUAUUUUGGUAAUAUGUAUUUCUUCAACCGCAGAAUUAUAAAGAUUCAUAGAUCAUGCAGAUCUAUUGAAGUAUUGAUGGUGGAAAGGUAAGUGCAUACUGAGUUACUUUAUCAAAUACGUGUGUUCUUUUUUUUUUUUUCAAAAUUUGAUUGAAAAAUAUUUUUACCAUUAAGAAGAUUAAACAGAUUUUCCCUCGAAAAGUGAGCUAGCUGUAUUCGGUGAUAUGGAGUUAAAAAACUUAUUUUCGAUGUUUUGAAUUUUUUUUUUUUUUUUUUAAUUCUCAAUUCAUCAUUCGAUUUGGUGACGUAAAAACAAUUUCGUUUCAAAAAAUGGAUUUAAAGGGUUCCAAAAAUUAUUAUGUGGGUAAAAAUUUUGAAUUUUUGACCCUCCCCCCCCGUAUUGUUUUUUGCAAACUACGCUCGAAAAAUUGUGCCCAGAACAGCUCUAUUUAGUAUUUUUGUUGUUGAUCAAUAAAAGACAGUACUUAAUCAAUGAUGAGUAGAUUCCUGCUUCCUGCAAUAUUUUAAAUUUAUAGUCUUUGGAAGUUGAC